CUCCACCAGCUUAAGUUUCUUUUGGUUCCACACUCAUUUAUAGGACAGGGCUCUGUUAUGGAAAGAUGUUACAUGGAAGCAUUUCUCUUUGUCUUUCUUUACCAAUGUCUGUUCUCAUCAGACAAGGUCAGAGUUAACAAAAACAAACAAACACACACACAAAAAAAACAACAGUUUAAUAACUGAUCCCUUUAUUUUCAAUAGCAAUUAUGGAAUAGCAACAGCCCUCAUCAGGGUGGAGGGUGGGGGCGGUGAUUAACUCAGUGCAUUCACUAUUGAUGGGCAGCAAGUGUAAAUGAAACUGCAGCAGCUCAGUACUGUGGGAUUUUAGAGCACGUUUGUCACUGACCAGGCUUUUUGAGAUCGUUAUCAUUUCUCUGAAGAGAAUACUCUUUGGUGGAACAUUUCUUGCAGUGGAAUAUAUUUACCAUGCAAGUAUAACAAGGUGGUAUACGUUCCACCAGGAGGUUUGGGAACCUCAAUAACCAGAUGAAUCAGACAAGUCAUCAAGAGUUAAAACAAAUUUAUGGAAACUACCAAGAGUGGGCACAGAUUGGCACAUCACCACUGAAGGAACUGGAAUUUGCAUCAAAGGUUUUGUUGACUGUGUUAUUCUCAUCCUGUCUCAUCCUGUGACUGAACAACUUGUAACAAAUACUAGUCAUAUUACUUAAGAUGUCAUUACAAUAUGCUCAGAUAAGAAACAGACAAUUGGAGAAGAACAGAAAAACUCUGCCCUGGAAGGAGAUGGUGAGUAGCAUACAAGUAAAAGGAAACUAAUAUCUGGAAGAAGUACACAAAUGAGACAUGCAUGGAUUUGGUGUCAUUGAGUUGCUUAGUGUCUUUCCUAUAUGCAACAGUUCUUUAUGGCUGAAUACUAUGCCAAGGGACAAUUGCAUCCUGAAUUGUUGCCAUCAGAAGUGAAAACUGAACAGGCUUUAUGCCAUCUAUAAAAUCAUCUACACAGUCCACUUGGUGAAAUGUCUCUUAAUUACACAAGGUCAAGUACAAAAGGUGCUAUUUAAUCAAACUGGUCCUGCUGUGUGAGAUGUCUGCCAACGAAUGGACAGAAGACAGGACUGCAAUUUUACCAAUUAUUAAGCAUUAACUGAAAGUCCACUUGAUUAGAAGUGAGACUCCUUCAUUAUACAUGACCAUUACAGUUUAUAGAGGGUUUUUUAGUUCCUUCCUUCAACUUGAUUUCUUUGACGAUGUAAUACAAAUGAGUACUCUGACUGCUCCAUGACAGUUACCUUCUUCCCCAAUCAUCUCUCUGGCCUGACCUUGACCUAUAGAUAGACUUUGGCAUUUAGUGAUAAUGUGGUUUGUGGUAGCAGUAACCGCAAAACAGGAUCUUCCCAGUGGCUUCAAGCCAGAGUGUUACUCACUGGCUAAUGGUUAGAAUAGAAGGAUAAUAGAUAUAGGUAAAUAAAUCUGAGAUUUAGAGUUUGUUAAUUUUAAAU
rnacentral:lncRNA from 1 species